GCCUUCAUCGCGGGGAAAGCGGGGGAGAGCUGGAGGGGGAUUCUAUCGAGACGUUAAGCGCAAACUUCAAUAUCUGCACAGCAAUGAUUAGGGCAUGCCGUUAUGGCUUCCCAUGUCAUCAAAACUAAUUUUGAAACUAAGACGGGAGUUAGGAAACUUGAAGUAUAUUAAUACUGUAAUUCGAAAGAAGAUGGAUCAAUUCCAAGCUUGAGAAGCAAAUCAAAGCUUGAGAAGAAGCUCAAAUGGUAGGAAAACCAGCAUUGUCGUAUUUAGCAGCUCCCCUUGUAACCCCCAAAUCGUUCUGCAUGGUUAAAGGACCCUUUGGAUCAUAUUUUGGAAUGUGGGAGCACUGAAUGUCGGAAGGAAAAACAAAACUGUUGAACAAAUGGUUGUCCCUGUACAUAAUGCUGGGUGUAUGCCAUCCUAAGGAAACUGCAUUUGUUGGGUCACAGACCAUGAUUUCUGAAGAUUGAUAAAAUCAGUCUAUAUGGUAGUUGUGUUUCUUUGAUAUGCAUGGUUAUGAGAGUAUAUAGAUAGAAAUAUAAUAAAUUGAUGUAAGCUGCCUUGGGUGCAAAAAAGGGGAUACAAAUGCAAUACAAGAAGAAGAAAAGGAAGAGGAAGAAGAAGAAGAAGAAGAAGAAGAAGAACUUCAACCAGGAUAACUGGAAUAAACAUCCAUGGAAUAUUUAAUACAUCUCUCUAAACUGCAUCAUGAAUAUUCUUAAAUCCAAGAACAGUUGUAGAAGGUGUUCUGUGCAGAAGCUUUGUUAUGGAAUCACUAAGAAAGGGGCUUACACUUCAGGGGUGAGAUAUCCAUUGAAUUAAAAUAAAGCUCAGUUGCUGGAAAGCAAAAGAAAUAA